AUGGCGUCCGCCCUGCAGCCGGCCUCCACGCCGCCCGAUGGUCUUGUCGAUGAGGCAGCAGAUGAAGAAGAAAUAAGUUUUGUGUCACUACAUUAUUUUGGCAAAUUUGAGACAGUGGAUGGAUUGCUUGUAUACAACGGAGGUCUGAUGAUUACUUUUCCGUUCAAUAGGAAAAGCCUAAAGUUUGAGCUUUUGUUGUCUUAUGCUGAGGACAUGUAUCAUGUAGAAAGAGGACAUUGUAGGGGGGAUUAUAGUUACAAGAUGCACUGGCUUGUUCCAGGGAAAAAACUGAGUGAGGGUUUGCAAUUUAUUUUUGAUGAUUCAAGUGUGGAGAAGAUGGGGAAUGCAACACCUAUUGGGUCAUGUGCAAAGAUCUAUGUGGAGGAAGUGCAGUUGUGUGAAGAAGCAGUAAAGCAGUUGCAAAACAGAGUAGAUGAUGUGCCUGUGGUAGAUGAUGUGCCUGUGGUAGUUUCAGAAACAUAUUCCAAGCAUAAAGGUAGCAGAUUUGCAUUGGUAAAUGUGGAUGCUGUGGAGACAAACAUGGUCGAUGAGAUGUUUUUAUCAAAUGUAGCAGCUUCAGCAGAACACAGAGCAGAGCCAGAAGUUGUUGUAGGUGUGAAAAGGACAGCUGCUGAGGAAGAAAAUUUGAGGAUAAUAAGUGAGGCUAAUGACUUUCUUACUACAUUUGAGAGUCCAGUGAAGAUUCAGAAAAGUAGAGCAAGUAGAGUUGCAGUUAAAAGAAGAAAAGUACCUCUUGCAGCUCCAGUUUCAGCAACUACAUCUUCAGGUGCAGCUCAAGGUGCAUGUGCUCCUCCUCCAACUCCAGGUGCAGCCCAAGGUGCAUCUUAUUCAUGUCCAGGUGCAUCUUCUUCAGCUCCAGUAGGAAAUAAAGCAAAAUCUGCAAAGACCAAAGCAGUAGCAGAUCAUGUUGAAAAUGGAACAAGUGCUAAUGAAGUAUUACAUGAAAAUGUAAAAGAAGGAGAAGAAGGUGACGAUGAAAGUGACAUUGACUACCAGCCUUUGUCAGAGCACAGUUCUGCUGAAGAAUCAGAGGCAGAGAAAUUAAGGAAAUUAGCAAGGGAAAUUAGGAGGCAGAAGAGAGCAAAGAAAUUAGGGGAUGCUGUGGGGCCUGUCAUCAAAGAUAAUAAUGUGAUUGAAGGUUUGUCUGGUGAUGAGAAGCUGGAUGGCAUAGAAGAUGAUGUUGUGUCAUCAGACGAUGACUGCUCUUUUGAUGAGGAAAGUGAUGGUGAGGGGGCCACACAGCUAGUGAGAAGGAAAAGUGAAUGGAGAAAAUAUGACAGCAAAUCAGAAAUUCCUACAUUUGAGAUAGGAAUGGUUUUUAGAGGAAGACAUCAGAUGAAGAAAGCUCUAAUAAAAUAUGGCAUUAAGAAACAUGUGCAUAUUGCUUUCACAAAGGAUGAAAAUCAUAAAGUAGGUGCAAAGUGUACUUGGCCUGGCUGCAACUGGAUGAUCUAUGCUUCUAAAACUACUAGAAAUAAGUGGCUACAGGUGUCUACCUUUGUAGAUGAGCACCAUUGCAUUCCAAGAAGAGAUAACAAACUGGUCACAUCAACUGUUAUUGCUACAAAAUAUGGCAGGCUUAUAAGAGAAAAUCCAAAUUGGAAGUUAGAAGAUUUGAGGAAAACUGUACUUGAGGACUUAUUUGCUGAUGUGACAGUUGCACAGUGCAAGAAGGCAAAGAGAAUGGUCAUGCAGAAACUAUUGCAUUCCACUGAAGGAGAGUACUCAAAAUUAUUUAAUUAUCAGUUAGAGCUGCUGAGAACUAAUCCGGGAAGCACAGUUGCAGUGAAGUUGGACCAUAAUGAAAAGGAUGGGUCAUAUGUAUUUUAA
rnacentral:rRNA from 1 species